AGCCUUAUAGUUGAUGAACAACAUUAAAUUGCAAACUUAAAAGUGUAUAAUAUACUAAGGCUU
rnacentral:tRNA from 2 species